AGCACAAUGGCUGACAAUAAAGUGAAGUCGACCAAACCUGUGAAUAAGACUCCUCCAAAGUCUCCUUCAGAUCCAUCAAAGGACCGAGCAGCAAAACGAUUGUCCUGUGAUUCAAACAGCUCCCAUGAGGGAGCUGUGGCAGGAGAAAUAAGCGCUCUGGAAGAGGCCUUUAGAAAAUUUGCCAUCCAUGGUGAUACAAGAGCCACAGGAAAAGAAAUGCAUGGGAAGAACUGGUCAAAGCUAUGUAAGGACUGUCAUGUGAUAGACGGGAAGAACGUGACAAUCACAGAUGUCGACAUUGUCUUCAGUAAAAUCAAGUAA